rnacentral:rRNA from 1 species
AGAACGAACGUUGGCGGCGUGGAUUAGGCAUGCAAGUCGAAUGAAUCCCAUCUGGGUAACUGGGUGGGGGAAAUGGCGAAAGGGGCAGUAAGGCAUGGGCAACCUACCCCGGGGACGGGGAUAGCCUUUCUAACGAGAGGGUAAUACCUGGCGAUUCAGCGAGGAGGCAUCUCUUUGCUGGGAAACGAGUUUCGCCUCGGGAGGGGCUCAUGUAGUAUUAGCUAGUUGGUAAGGUAACGGCUUACCAAGGCGAAGAUGCUUAGCGGGUGUGAGAGCACGACCCGCGCCACUGGCACUGAGACACUGGCCAGACUCCUACGGGAGGCUGCAGUCGAGGAUCUUCGGCAAUGGGCGCAAGCCUGACCGAGCGACGCCGCGUGUGCGAAGAAGGCCUUCGGGUUGUAAGCACUGUCGAGGGAAGAAGACCGUAAGGUUGAUCGACCCUGGAGGAAGCACGGGCUAAGUUCGUGCCAGCAGCCGCGGUAA